UACCUGGUUGAUCCUGCCAGUAGUCAUAUGCUUGUCUCAAAGAUUAAGCCAUGCAAGUCUAAGUACGAGCUCUCGUACAGUGAAACUGCGAAUGGCUCAUUAAAUCAGUUAUGGUUCAUUUGAUCGUACAGUUUACUUGGAUAACUGUGGUAAUUCUAGAGCUAAUACAUGCGAGAAGCGCCGACCUCGCGGGAGGCGUGCAUUUAUCAGACCAAAAACCGGCCGCGUCUUCGGGCGCGUUCGCCUUGGUGACUCUGGAUAACUUUGCGGAUCGCACGGUCUAGCACCGGCGACGGAUCAUUCAAGUGUCUGCCCUAUCAACUUUCGUCGGUACGGUAUUUGCCUACCGAGGUUCUUACGGGUGACGG
rnacentral:ncRNA from 1 species